AGCGUACACGGUGGAUGCCCUGGCAGUCAGAGGCGAUGAAGGACGUGCUAAUCUGCGAUAAGCGUCGGUAAGGUGAUAUGAACCGUUAUAACCGGCGAUUUCCGAAUGGGGAAACCCAGUGUGAUUCGUCACACUAUCAUUAACUGAAUCCAUAGGUUAAUGAGGCGAACCGGGGGAACUGAAACAUCUAAGUACCCCGAGGAAAAGAAAUCAACCGAGAUUCCCCCAGUAGCGGCGAGCGAACGGGGAGCAGCCCAGAGCCUGAAUCAGUGUGUGUGUUAGUGGAAGCGUCUGGAAAGGCGCGCGAUACAGGGUGACAGCCCCGUACACAAAAAUGCACAUGCUGUGAGCUCGAUGAGUAGGGCGGGACACGUGGUAUCCUGUCUGAAUAUGGGGGGACCAUCCUCCAAGGCUAAAUACUCCUGACUGACCGAUAGUGAACCAGUACCGUGAGGGAAAGGCGAAAAGAACCCCGGCGAGGGGAGUGAAAAAGAACCUGAAACCGUGUACGUACAAGCAGUGGGAGCACGCUUAGGCGUGUGACUGCGUACCUUUUGUAUAAUGGGUCAGCGACUUAUAUUCUGUAGCAAGGUUAACCGAAUAGGGGAGCCGAAGGGAAACCGAGUCUUAACUGGGCGUUAAGUUGCAGGGUAUAGACCCGAAACCCGGUGAUCUAGCCAUGGGCAGGUUGAAGGUUGGGUAACACUAACUGGAGGACCGAACCGACUAAUGUUGAAAAAUUAGCGGAUGACUUGUGGCUGGGGGUGAAAGGCCAAUCAAACCGGGAGAUAGCUGGUUCUCCCCGAAAGCUAUUUAGGUAGCGCCUCGUGAAUUCAUCUCCGGGGGUAGAGCACUGUUUCGGCAAGGGGGUCAUCCCGACUUACCAACCCGAUGCAAACUGCGAAUACCGGAGAAUGUUAUCACGGGAGACACACGGCGGGUGCUAACGUCCGUCGUGAAGAGGGAAACAACCCAGACCGCCAGCUAAGGUCCCAAAGUCAUGGUUAAGUGGGAAACGAUGUGGGAAGGCCCAGACAGCCAGGAUGUUGGCUUAGAAGCAGCCAUCAUUUAAAGAAAGCGUAAUAGCUCACUGGUCGAGUCGGCCUGCGCGGAAGAUGUAACGGGGCUAAACCAUGCACCGAAGCUGCGGCAGCGACGCUGAUGCGUUGUUGGGUAGGGGAGCGUUCUGUAAGCCUGCGAAGGUGUGCUGUGAGGCAUGCUGGAGGUAUCAGAAGUGCGAAUGCUGACAUAAGUAACGAUAAAGCGGGUGAAAAGCCCGCUCGCCGGAAGACCAAGGGUUCCUGUCCAACGUUAAUCGGGGCAGGGUGAGUCGACCCCUAAGGCGAGGCCGAAAGGCGUAGUCGAUGGGAAACAGGUUAAUAUUCCUGUACUUGGUGUUACUGCGAAGGGGGGACGGAGAAGGCUAUGUUGGCCGGGCGACGGUUGUCCCGGUUUAAGCGUGUAGGCUGGUUUUCCAGGCAAAUCCGGAAAAUCAAGGCUGAGGCGUGAUGACGAGGCACUACGGUGCUGAAGCAACAAAUGCCCUGCUUCCAGGAAAAGCCUCUAAGCAUCAGGUAACAUCAAAUCGUACCCCAAACCGACACAGGUGGUCAGGUAGAGAAUACCAAGGCGCUUGAGAGAACUCGGGUGAAGGAACUAGGCAAAAUGGUGCCGUAACUUCGGGAGAAGGCACGCUGAUAUGUAGGUGAAGCGACUUGCUCGUGGAGCUGAAAUCAGUCGAAGAUACCAGCUGGCUGCAACUGUUUAUUAAAAACACAGCACUGUGCAAACACGAAAGUGGACGUAUACGGUGUGACGCCUGCCCGGUGCCGGAAGGUUAAUUGAUGGGGUUAGCGCAAGCGAAGCUCUUGAUCGAAGCCCCGGUAAACGGCGGCCGUAACUAUAACGGUCCUAAGGUAGCGAAAUUCCUUGUCGGGUAAGUUCCGACCUGCACGAAUGGCGUAAUGAUGGCCAGGCUGUCUCCACCCGAGACUCAGUGAAAUUGAACUCGCUGUGAAGAUGCAGUGUACCCGCGGCAAGACGGAAAGACCCCGUGAACCUUUACUAUAGCUUGACACUGAACAUUGAGCCUUGAUGUGUAGGAUAGGUGGGAGGCUUUGAAGUGUGGACGCCAGUCUGCAUGGAGCCGACCUUGAAAUACCACCCUUUAAUGUUUGAUGUUCUAACGUUGACCCGUAAUCCGGGUUGCGGACAGUGUCUGGUGGGUAGUUUGACUGGGGCGGUCUCCUCCUAAAGAGUAACGGAGGAGCACGAAGGUUGGCUAAUCCUGGUCGGACAUCAGGAGGUUAGUGCAAUGGCAUAAGCCAGCUUGACUGCGAGCGUGACGGCGCGAGCAGGUGCGAAAGCAGGUCAUAGUGAUCCGGUGGUUCUGAAUGGAAGGGCCAUCGCUCAACGGAUAAAAGGUACUCCGGGGAUAACAGGCUGAUACCGCCCAAGAGUUCAUAUCGACGGCGGUGUUUGGCACCUCGAUGUCGGCUCAUCACAUCCUGGGGCUGAAGUAGGUCCCAAGGGUAUGGCUGUUCGCCAUUUAAAGUGGUACGCGAGCUGGGUUUAGAACGUCGUGAGACAGUUCGGUCCCUAUCUGCCGUGGGCGCUGGAGAACUGAGGGGGGCUGCUCCUAGUACGAGAGGACCGGAGUGGACGCAUCACUGGUGUUCGGGUUGUCAUGCCAAUGGCACUGCCCGGUAGCUAAAUGCGGAAGAGAUAAGUGCUGAAAGCAUCUAAGCACGAAACUUGCCCCGAGAUGAGUUCUCCCUGACUCCUUGA
rnacentral:rRNA from 1 species